UUGUUUCGUUUGUGAACGCCCUGCAGACUGUCUGCAAAGCAGUCGACAAGGUAUUAGGAAAGCUUUUUCUCGAUUUAUGCAUUGCGAACAAAACGGACUUGAAGAUACACAGUUUGACCCUUAACGUCGUCUAAACCAUUUAAACCAUUUGUAUAUACGCUACGUGGAUCCUAAAGCGAGUAUUUGCUUUGGCCAAAGCAUUAAGGUGUGUCAAAAUUGUGUUAAAUCGUACUCGUCAUAAGUGACAUAAUCGUUUGAGCUAUAAGGUGACAUGACCAUUGUUGUGCUUAAGGAUAUCAUAUACGUUAGAGAUGAAAGCUAAAAAUAUGGACGUCGUUAAUCGUCUCAGAAGUCCUAGGUGCGUGGGAUUCAACAGAAUCAUCACAAAUACGUUGACCAUGUCUUUUAGAAUCAUAUAUAUCAAGCGCGACGAGCAGCAUGUAGCUGAUUUUAACCUCUGCAUACAUGCAUUGCUCUGUGCAUCAGCUGAAGCCCAAAGUUCCACGAUGGCAUGAUGCACUGAUUUGCUGAUCGGCUGGAUUACAGCCUCAGUGAAGUCCUCGCUUACUUCAGCUAGCGAACAUUUUCAAGGCCAAUUAGCUUACAAGGGAAACGUUAUCGAUUUAGACCUGUUCUCGGCUCUUGUAUUCAAGCAGUCCCAUCUGAUGAGGUGGUUCCAGCAAAGCUUCUUCCCUCAUCACUCACCUCGAUGUUCAGCCAGUAACUUAUUCUGUGAUCCAUUGCUCGUGAUAGCCAGAUGGACCUCUUGGGUCUCGGUACUUUUCUCGAUGCCAUGGGUGCAGCUGUUGCUGUUACAGACGCAUACAAAACGCCUUUACUCGGACGCUAAAGACUGUCGGCCUGGCAUCUCUAACAAAAGGCUCACGGUGCACAGAAGACAUCAAACUUGGCUAUACACGGACGAGCGUGCUAAUGGCAAACAGCUACUGUAUGAGUGACGAGAAGUCAUUCUUACUCCUACCGAACAAACAUACAUUGGAUGAUUGUAGUCCCUUAGGGACAGCGUGGGCGUGAUAGCUGCAUUUCCACUGUAAAACCUGACAAGUGAUUUUGAUUUAUUAUUGCAAUGGAGAAAACGGCAGCGACAAGACGGGUAGCACCGUUGGAUUAUACGGGCGUUAUUGUCUGUUUUAUAAAGCAGAAAACCACGUCCGCCAUCUUCGAUUUGCGUUUUUUUUCAUACCUUAUGACCUUCUGAAACGGGGCUGGAAAAAGGAAAAGCUCGAGGCCUCCCGAGAAAUAUCUGCGCUUCUAUGGAAUAACACUAGAUCUACGCACCCAAUGUCUAGCUAGCGGUACGAACAUGAGCUACCAAGAUUUUAACAAGAAGUGAGACGUAGAUGUACGCGGAGAAAGGGGCAUAAUCCUAAAGACCACCUUUGUGAGAUUAACACAGCAUCACAGGGUGUACUUCAGGCCUUGCGUACAGGUGUGUAGACAGCUGACGGGCGGGACAAGAUCUAUACACACCUUUUCCUGUAAGCUUCCAUCUAACAUCAGAAAAUCAUGCUUUCUAUCAGCACCACUACAACCCCUAUGUGUCUUGUAAACCGCGUGAGUGCCGUUCGACUACACAAACGCAAUGUAGUAGUGCCCGCAGCCUAAUCAGUUAGGAUUCGGCAGGACAAUGCCGAACUGAUUAACCAGUUGUCGAAACUAAAUGGCCCGCUAGUGCGGAAGGGCCUUAACGACCGCGAUAAAAUUUGCAAGUCGCGCUAUCAUCAAUAUCAACCUUACUGUAUCGCGCAGUUCCAAUGAGCGCCUAGAAUAAACGUUGAGGAAAAAGAGCUCGUGGAAACAAGAGGUCGGGCAGCAUUAGGGCGGACCGCGUACCUUGGCGUUAAAAUCGACAGCGAAACGAAUCAGGCGGACAGCUGAUUAAAUGAAGAGCUGCGUUCAGCUGGUUUGAGUUGCGAAUAAAAACUCGUCCAUGCCACUAAGACUGUACUACGUACUGCGAUUCGAACCAAUAAAAUAGCAAAACUCCACCGUUUUUUAGAUGCAAACGGCAGUUUGUAUAGUUAUCCAUACAAGGAGCAUGGGUAGGACAUUGCAGAAGCUUAGCUCCACCUGCCAUUGGAGGACGAGGAGGGUCACACUAUCAUAAGUUUUACACUUCAGACUCAUGGCAUCACUAGAGCAAUCAUUAAGCAAAGUGGAAGUUUCUCGCACAGAACAAACCAGUAUGUAGUAAUACAAGCGAUUAGAAGGUUGUUAAAAGAAUGAUUUCGUACUGUACUCAUUUUGUUUAAAUAAUUGUCACGAGUAGCGGCUCACACACAGAGAGAGCUAUUAAAAAUAAAUAAAUCGAAAAAAGAAACAAAAGGUUUCUAUGCGUAGGGAGACGAAUUAAAGGUCAUAAAGAUCAUGGAGUACAAGGAGCUGACUUUUACGAACAGAAAUUGGUCAUCGAUACGCCGAGUUAAAUUCUGUGUUUUCCUAGGCAAAGUAUUCGACUAUUGGCCGGAUUUGCUGAUUAAAUUUAAUGCUACUACCAUCAAUGUAGAUCACACAGAAAAAUCGAUGUUCGAUGGAUAAAAUAACGAUGACCGGACGAAACAAGUCUACUUAAUUUUUAGAAAUAUGUCAAAGAAUUCGCGUUGAAAAUUGGGUAGGUGUGCAAGGCGGCAUAGACGCAUGCUGGAAAAAAAUAGCCGAAGAUAUAGGCGAGAGUAAUUUCGAUAUAGAAACGUAGUGAAUGAGCCGAAGAAGCGUCAGCAUCUCCCCGAACAUCCAACUGCAACUAUCUGAAAGUGCAAAUAAAAGAACUGCGAGUGCGACUGGCUAUGCAGAGUAUCCCUUUGAGAAUUUUAAGCAAGAA
rnacentral:lncRNA from 1 species